AUUGAACGCUGGCGGCAGGCCUAACACAUGCAAGUCGAGCGCGCGGCGGAAGGGUGAGUGAUGUAUGGGGACUGCCCGAUAGAGGGGGGUAAAUACUGGAAACGGUGGCGAAUAACGCAUACUCUAGGAUAACCCAUAUGGGAUUAGAUAGUAGGUAAGGUAAUGGCUUACCUAGGCGACGGUCCCUAGCUGGUCUGAGAGGAUGAUCAGCCACACUGGGACUGAGACACGGCCCAGACUCCUACGGAGGCAGCAGUGGGGAAUAUUGCACAAUGGGCGCAAGCCUGAUGCAGCCAUGCCGCGUGUAUGAAGAAGACCCUCGGGUUGUAAAGUACUUUCAGUCGGGAGGCGUUACCGACAGAAGAAGCACCGGCUAACUCCGUGCCAGCAGCCGCGGUAAUAC
rnacentral:rRNA from 1 species